UGUCCCUUACCAUGGCUGGAGAAUUAGCCACAGAACUCACCACCAGAACCAUGGACAUGUUGAGAACGACUAAUCUUGGCAUCCUAUGUCUGAGAAAAUCUACAAGAGUUUAGACAAACCCACUCGGUUCUUUAGAUUUACACUGCCUCUUGUGAUGC